UACAGAGGUCCCAAGCGUUGUUCGGAUUCACUGGGCGUAAAGGGUGCGUAGGUGGUUGCGCAAGUCUGAUGUGAAAUCUCCGGGCUCAACCCGGAAAUGGCAUUGGAAACUGCGUGGCUAGAGGGUUGGAGGGGGGACUGGAAUACUUGGUGUAGCAGUGAAAUGCGUAGAUAUCAAGUGGAACACCGAUGGCGAAGGCAGUCCCCUGGGCCUGUACUGACGCUCAUGCACGAAAGCGUGGGGAGCAAACAGG
rnacentral:rRNA from 1 species